UUCUUAUCGCUGCUUUUACCUUUAAUUUGCUACUUUAUCGCAUUGGUAUCUGUAGCUAUAUAAGGGAGUAUAACACAGCCAAAAGCAUUGUUCUAACAAGUGAUUUGACAAACUUAUGAUGUUUUUUGAAAAGUUAUCAAUGGCAAAACUUGCAUUUGCCGCAGUGGUGUUGUCUGCUUUCCUCUCCCAGAUUAGUGCAGCGAAAGCUGUCAAAAGACUAGCGCCGUAAUUUCUUUCCAUGUGAUGGAUAAAUAAGGAAUAAAAUAAAAUUGCUGAAAACA